UAACACGUGGACAACCUGCCCUGAGGACUGGAAUAAUCCCGGGAAACUGGGGGUAAUUCCAGAUAUGUCAGAACUCCUGGAAUGGGUUCUGGCAGAAAGGCUCCGGCGCCUCAGGAUGGGUCUGCGGCCUAUCAGGGUAGUAGUGGGUGUAACGUACCUACUAGCCUACGACGGGUACGGGUUGUGAGAGCAAGAGCCCGGAGAUGGAUUCUGAGACAUGAAUCCAGGCCCUACGGGGUGCAGCAGGCGCGAAAACUUUACAAUGCGGGCAACCGCGAUAAGGGGACCUCGAGUGCUGGGUUACAAACCUGGCUGUUGGGCUGCCUAAAAAGCAGUCUAUAGCAAGGGCCGGGCAAGACCGGUGCCAGCCGCCGCGGUAACACCGGCGGCUCGAGUGGUAACCGCUGUUAUUGGGUCUAAAGGGUCUGUAGCCUGCCGGCUAAGUCUCUUGGGAAAUCUGGCAUCUCAAGUGUCAGGCUGCCAGGGGAUACUGGUCGGCUUGGGACCGGGAGAGGUGAGAGGUACCUCGGGGGUAGGGGUGAAAUCUUGUAAUCCUCGAGGGACCACCAGUGGCGAAGGCGUCUCACCAGAACGGAUCCGACGGCAAGGGACGAAAGCUAGGGGCACGAACCGGAUUAGAUACCCGGGUAGUCCUAGCCGUAAACGAUACUCGCUAGGUGUCGGCCACGGUGCGACCGUGGUCGGUGCCGUAGGGAAGCCGUGAAGCGAGCCACCUGGGAAGUACGGCCGCAAGGCUGAAACUUAAAGGAAUUGGCGGGGGAGCACAAUC
rnacentral:rRNA from 1 species